AGUUAGAAAGAAAAACUCUCAAUCUCGAAACCUCACCUCCACUCUCGAAACCUCACUUCACACUCUCAAAACCUCACUUCCCUUUCUCGAAACCUCACCUCACACUCACCGGAAACUCGUCACUCCAUCGCAGCAACCUCCAUCCUACGCAGCAACGUCGACCUUCAUCGUUGACCCAGAAAAUGUGACUCUGUGGCAUCAACGCGUCCCAAUCAUCUUGAAACCUCACCUCACACUCACCGGAAACUCGUCACUCCGUCAUAGCAACCUUCAUCCAACACAGCAACAUCAAUCUUCAUCGUUGACCCGGGCAAUGUGACUCCGUGGCAGCAACGCGUCCCAAUCAGGUUGAGGUUCAUUCUCCAACCCUGGCCAAAAAGACGUUCAUGUUCACAAAGCAAAAGACCCUUCACAAACCCUAACUUUGUGCACAAGAAGGAAUCAGAAAUGCUCCAUGAAUUGGGAAAUAAUUAGUUGCACCAUCUGAGAUCCUAGCUUGGUUUUUUGUUUGUGAGAAGGUUAAAGUUUUGGUCCUGAAGUCACACUCUCUUGAUAAAAUUUCUUUAAGGCAGAACAAUUGGGUCGUCCUGUACAUUUUGAUGAGCUUUUCCACCAUACUCAUGUUCGCAAGAAUACCGGUGAUUUUGUAGAUCACAGAUCUAAACAAACAUAUGAGGAAUUUCAAAUUGUAUUUUCCCAAGCAAGAUCUGAGGCUGCUUCUUGUGGUGAAGGAGAAGAAAUAUCUCCAUUGGACCCUAGUGAGGAAGAGAAGUUAAGGAAAAAAAGUUGGUUAGUUGCUGCUGGUGGAAAAAAUCCUAAGGGACGAGUAUAUGGUGUUGGAAAACUGAAUGAAAAUUAUCUUUGUGGGGAAGCCUUCACACAACAACCAUCCAGUUCUACAAGUAUGGAUUCACAAAAAAUUCUAAGGUUGGAAGAAGAAAUUCGUCAAUCUAGGGAAGAGUUUCGUCAAUCUAGGGAGGAGAAUCAACGAGUGCAGAGAAAAUUAGAAUCCCUAGUAACUGUUGUUCUCCCUCUUCUUCCUCCCGCCGCACAAACCAUUUUGCAAGACUUCAAUGAACAACCACAAAAUAAGGAUCAAAACCAAGAUGAUGCUCGGGAGAGGGACCACCAGCAUGGGCAAAACUCUUCUCAUUAUGCAGAUUAUUAGUUAGGUUUGUAAUUGUAGGACUUGUUGAACUAGAGGUAAAUUUAGUUAGUUUUUAAAUUGUAGGACUUGACCUAUGUAGCUUAUUUGUUAGUUUCUUAAUUUGUGUUAUCUACUUUAUUUUAUAUUUGUAGUUUUAUAGUUUUGAUGUGAUUAUAUGAAUGCUGCUAAACCUUUGGAUAACUAUGUUGUUUUAUAUUUGAAGGUGUUAUUUGAAUGUUGGAA